GAUGAACGCUGGCGGCGUGCUUAACACAUGCAAGUCGAACGGAAAGGCUCCUGCUUGCAGGGGUACUCGAGUGGCGAACGGGUGAGUAACACGUGGGUGAUCUGCCCUGCACUUCGGGAUAAGCCUGGGAAACUGGGUCUAAUACCGGAUAGGACGAUGGUUUGGAUGCCAUUGUGGAAAGUUUUUUCGGUGUGGGAUGAGCUCGCGGCCUAUCAGCUUGUUGGUGGGGUAAUGGCCUACCAAGGCGUCGACGGGUAGCCGGCCUGAGAGGGUGUACGGCCACACUGGGACUGAGAUGCGGCACAGACUCCUACGGGAGGCAGCAGUGGGGAAUAUAGCACAAUGGGCGGAAGCCUGAUGCAGCGACGCCGCGUGGGGGAUGACGGCCUUCGGGUUGUAAACUCCUUUCGCUAGGGACGAAGCGCAAGUGACGGUACCUGGAGAAGAAGCACCGGCUAACUACGUG
rnacentral:rRNA from 1 species